UAAUUUAAAGUCUAACCUGCCCAAUGAAAAUUUUAAUGGCCGCAGUAUUUUGACUGUGCAAAGGUAGCAUAAUCAUUAGUUUUUUAAUUAAAAACUGGAAUGAAGGGUUGAACGAAAAAAUAAUUGUCUCUUUAUAAUUUUUUUAGAAUUUUAUUUUUAAGUUAAAAAGCUUAAAUAAAUUUAAAAGACGAGAAGACCCUAUAGAGUUUUAUAUUUUUAAAAUUAUUAUUUUAUUUGAAUUUUAAAAAUUAUUAUUUUUAAAAAUAUUUAAUUGGGGUGAUUGAAAAAUUUAAUUAACUUUUUUUUUAUUUAACAUUAAUAAAUGAAUAAUUGAUCCAUUUUUAUGAUUAAAAGAUUAAAUUACCUUAGGGAUAACAGCGUUAUUUCUUUUUAGAGUUCUUAUCAAUAAAGAAGUUUGCGACCUCGAUGUUGGAUUAAAAUAAAUUUAUGGUGUAGAAGCUAUAAUAUUAGGUCUGUUCGACCUUUAAAAUUUU
rnacentral:rRNA from 1 species